AAUUAAUUAAUUGAUGUUGAAUUGAUCCUUGUGUUUGUAUGAUUGUAGAGACCGUCCUGGAGUGUUUGUGCCGCCUGAUUUCUGGGACUACACACCAAUCUCUCUGGCUGACCAUGCAAUAAGUAUUUUGCAAUUACAUCUGUUUGGUCAUUAUCCAUGCAGGCCGAAGAAACUGAGAUACUUACUUAUGAGGACAUAAACUUUGCACGCAAGAACCUGGAAAGUCCUAAAGGUGCAGUGCUGUCUUAUACCGCUGGUUCUGUAAUAACCCUUUCAACCAUUGGGGUGUUGCACAGAGCAUUGUGGUGAAAAUCCAGCAAACAAAAG